CUCAUUCCCUCAGUGUUGAAACAAUCUCUGUUGAACCAUGUUACAGGAAGUUCACUGGAGUUUGUUUCAACAUUGGAGGAAUGAUAAGAUGCUACU
rnacentral:pre_miRNA from 8 species